rnacentral:rRNA from 1 species
UACGUAGGGUGCGAGCGUUGUCCGGAAUUAUUGGGCGUAAAGCGCGCGUAGGCGGACCUGCAAGUCGGGGGUGAAAGCCCGAGGCUCAACCUCGGAACUGCCUUCGAUACUGCGGGUCUCGAGUCCGGGAGAGGUGAGUGGAAUUCCUAGUGUAGAGGUGAAAUUCGUAGAUAUUAGGAAGAACACCCGUGGCGAAGGCGGCUCUCUGGGACGGUACUGACGCUGAGACGCGAAAGCGUGGGGAGCGAACAGG